UACGUAGGGUGCAAGCGUUAAUCGGAAUUACUGGGCGUAAAGCGUGCGCAGGCGGUUCGGAAAGAAAGAUGUGAAAUCCCAGAGCUUAACUUUGGAACUGCAUUUUUAACUACCGAGCUAGAGUGUGUCAGAGGGAGGUGGAAUUCCGCGUGUAGCAGUGAAAUGCGUAGAUAUGCGGAGGAACACCGAUGGCGAAGGCAGCCUCCUGGGAUAACACUGACGCUCAUGCACGAAAGCGUGGGGGAGCGAACAGGAUUAGAUACCCUGGUAGUCCACGCCCUAAACGAUGUCAACUAGCUGUUGGGGCCUUCGGGCCUUGGUAGCGCAGCUAACGCGUGAAGUUGACCGCCUGGGGAGUACGGUCGCAAGAUUAAAACUCAA
rnacentral:rRNA from 1 species